GGGGGACAACUCGGGGAAACCCGGGCUAAUACCGCAUAAUCUCUACGGAGGAAAGAGGGCCUCUACUUGUAAGCUCUCGCUAAUGGAUGAGCCCAAGUCAGAUUAGCUAGUUGGUAGGGUAAUGGCUUACCAAGGCUACGAUCUGUAGCUGGUCUGAGAGGAUGAUCAGCCACACUGGGACUGAGACACGGCCCAGACUCCUACGGGAGGCAGCAGUGGGGAAUAUUGCACAAUGGGCGCAAGCCUGAUGCAGCAAUGCCGCGUGUGUGAAGAAGGCUCUAGGGUUGUAAAGCACUUUCAAUAGAGAAGAAAAGCUUGAAGUUAAUACCUUCAAGCCUUGACGUAACCUAUACAAGAAGCACCGGCUAAUUCCGUGCCAGCAGCCGCGGUAAUACGGGAGGUGCGAGCGUUAAUCGGAAUUACUGGGCGUAAAGCGAGCGUAGGCUGUUAAAUAAGUCGAAUGUGAAAUCCCCGGGCUUAACCUGGGAACUGCACUCGAAACUAUUUAACUAGAGUAUGGGAGAGGAAAGUAGAAUUUCCGGUGUAGCGGUGAAAUGCGUAGAUAUC
rnacentral:rRNA from 1 species